rnacentral:rRNA from 1 species
CCUUCUUUUUCCCGCUUUCUCCGGAUUCACUGGGUUUAAAGGGUGCGUAGGUGGGUUGGUAAGUCAGUGGUGAAAUCUCCGAGCUUAACUUGGAAACUGCCGUUGAUACUAUCAGUCUUGAAUAUUGUGGAGGUUAGCGGAAUAUGUCAUGUAGCGGUGAAAUGCUUAGAUAUGACAUAGAACACCAAUUGCGAAGGCAGCUGGCUACACGAAUAUUGACACUGAGGCACGAAAGCGUGGGGAUCAAACAGGA